rnacentral:rRNA from 1 species
AGACUUUGAUCCUGGCUCAGAUUGAACGCUGGCGGAAUGCUUUACACAUGCAAGUCGAACGGCAGCACGGGUGCUUGCACCUGGUGGCGAGUGGCGAACGGGUGAGUAAUGCGUCGGAACGUACCGAGUAAUGGGGGAUAACGCAGCGAAAGUUGUGCUAAUACCGCAUACGCCCUGAGGGGGAAAGUGGGGGAUCGCAAGACCUCACGUUAUUCGAGCGGCCGACGUCUGAUUAGCUAGUUGGUGGGGUAAUGGCCCACCAAGGCGACGAUCAGUAGCGGGUCUGAGAGGAUGAUCCGCCACACUGGGACUGAGACACGGCCCAGACUCCUACGGGAGGCAGCAGUGGGGAAUUUUGGACAAUGGGGGCAACCCUGAUCCAGCCAUUCCGCGUGAGUGAAGAAGGCCUUCGGGUUGUAAAGCUCUUUCAGCUGGAGAGAAACGGUUCGCUCUAACAUAGCGGGCUAAUGACGGUACCAGCAGAAGAAGCACCGGCUAACUACGUGCCAGCAGCCGCGGUAAUACGUAGGGUGCGAGCGUUAAUC